GUGUCAGUCAAGGAGAGCUCAUUAAUAUAAGCUCCCCGACACACAGCCUGUUCAUUCAGGCUUCCUGAUUGUUAGAGAUGAGAGAAAAGGCCACACAAACGCUUCACACCGCAUGGCCGGUGCCACUCUAACCUGGUGGUCCCAGCGCGCAUGACCCACGUGGAGUUCCAGGUCUCCGGUAGCCUCUGGAACUGCCGGUCUGCGGCCAACAAGGCAGAGUUCAUCUCAGCCUAUGCUACCCUCCAGUCCCUCGACUUCUUGGCGCUGACGGAAACAUGGAUUACCACAGAAAACACUACUACUCCUACUGCUCUCUCCUCGUCUGACCACGUGUUCUCGCAUACCCCGAGAGCAUCUGGUCAGCGGGGUGGUGGCACUGGAAUCCUCAUCUCUCCCAAGUGGACAUUCUCUCUUUCUCUCCUGACCCAUCUGUCUAUCUCCUCCUUUGAAUUCCAUGAUGUCACAGUCACUAGCACAUUCAAGCUUAACCUGUUAGGGCUAGGGGGCAGUAUUGACACGGCUGGAUAAAAAACAUACCCGAUUUAAUCUGGUUACCACUCCUACCCAGUAACUAGAAUAUGCAUAUACCUAUUACAUAUGGAUAGAAAACACCC
rnacentral:lncRNA from 1 species